UACGUAGGGUCCGAGCGUUGUCCGGAAUCAUUGGGCGUAAAGAGCUCGUAGGCGGUUUGGUAAGUCGGGUGUGAAAUCUCCACGCUCAACGUGGAGGGGCCACUCGAUACUGCCAUGACUCGAGUCCGGUAGAGGAGUGUGGAAUUCCCGGUGUAGCGGUGAAAUGCGCAGAUAUCGGGAGGAACACCCGUAGCGAAGGCGGCACUCUGGGCCGGAACUGACGCUGAGGAGCGAAAGCGUGGGGAGCAAACAGG
rnacentral:rRNA from 1 species